rnacentral:tRNA from 1 species
CUCUAAGUAGCUUAUGUGACAGCGCUGGCCUUUUAAGCCUGAGAUGGGUACCAAACCCCUUAGAGC